AUUGAACGCUGGCGGCAGGCCUAACACAUGCAAGUCGAACGAGUGGCGGACGGGUGAGUAAUAUAUGGGAAAGUGCCUGAUGGAGGGGGAUAACUACUGGAAACGGUGGCUAAUACCGCAUACCAUCGGAUGUGCCCAGAUGGGAUUAGCUAGUAGGUGGGGUAACGGCUCACCUAGGCGACGAUCCCUAGCUGGUCUGAGAGGAUGACCAGCCACACUGGAGCUGAGACACUGUCCAGCCGCCUACGGGAGGCAGCAGUGGGGAAUAUUUGACCAUGGGGGCAAGCCUGAUUCAGCCAUGCCGGUUGUAUGAAGAAGGCCUUUGGGUUGUAAAGUACUUUCAGCGGGGAGGCGUUACCCGCAGAAUAAGCACCGGCUAACUCCGUGCCAGCAGCCGCGGUAAUAC
rnacentral:rRNA from 1 species